GACUACCGGGGUAUCUAAUCCUGUUCGCUACCCACGCUUUCGAGCCUCAGCGUCAGUAUCGUGCUAGAGAGCCGCUUUCGCCACCGGUGUUCCUCCAGAUAUCUACGCAUUUCACCGCUACACCUGGAAUUCCGCUCUCCUCUCACGAACUCGAGUCCGGCAGUAUCUAAAGCACUUCCGAGGUUAAGCCCCGGGCUUCCACUUUAGACUUACCGGACCGCCUGCGCUCCCUUUACGCCCAGUUAUUCCGAACAACGCUUGCAACCUCCGUAUUACCGCGGCUGCUGGCACGGAGUUAGCCGUUGCUUAUUCCUGAGGUACCGUCAAGCCUGGAGCAUUUCCUCCCCAAGCGUUUCUUCCCUCAGAAAAGAGUUUUACGACCCGAAGGCCUUCAUCACUCACGCGGCAUGGCUGGAUCAGGCUUUCGCCCAUUGUCCAAUAUUCCCCACUGCAGCCUCCCGUAGG
rnacentral:rRNA from 1 species